rnacentral:rRNA from 1 species
CGAGUUGGCGGCGUGACUAUACAUGCAAGUCGAGCGGACCAAAGAAGAGCUUGCUCUUCGGCGGUUAGCGGCGGACGGGUGAGUAACACGUAGGCAACCUGCCUGUACGACUGGGAUAACUCCGGGAAACCGGAGCUAAUACCGGAUACGUUUUUCAGACCGCAUGGUCUGAAAGAGAAAGACCUUUGGUCACGUACAGAUGGGCCUGCGGCGCAUUAGCUAGUUGGUGGGGUAACGGCCUACCAAGGCGACGAUGCGUAGCCGACCUGAGAGGGUGAUCGGCCACACUGGGACUGAGACACGGCCCAGACUCCUACGGGAGGCAGCAGUAGGGAAUCUUCCGCAAUGGACGAAAGUCUGACGGAGCAACGCCGCGUGAACGAUGAAGGUUUUCGGAUCGUAAAGUUCUGUUGUUAGGGAAGAACCGCCGGGAUGACCUCCCGGUCUGACGGUACCUAACGAGAAAGCCCCGGCUAACUACGUGCCAGCAGCCGCGGUAAUACGUAGGGGGCAAGCGUUGUCCGGAAUUAUUGGGCGUAAAGCGCGCGCAGGCGGCUUCUUAAGUCAGGUGUGAAAGCCCACGGCUCAACCGUGGAGGGCCACUUGAAACUGGGAGGCUUGAGUGCAGGAGAGGAGAGCGGAAUUCCACGUGUAGCGGUGAAAUGCGUAGAGAUGUGGAGGAACACCCGUGGCGAAGGCGGCUCUCUGGCCUGUAACUGACGCUGAGGCGCGAAAGCGUGGGGAGCGAACAGGAUUAGAUACCCUGGUAGUCCACGCCGUAAACGUUGAGUGCUAGGUGU